UUGCCAGACUCCUACGGGAGGCAGCAGUGAGGAAUAUUGGUCAAUGGGCGAGAGCCUGAACCAGCCAAGUCGCGUGAGGGAGUACUGCCCUAUGGGUUGUAAACCUCUUUUGUCGGGGAGCAAAAGCCGGACGUGUCCGGCUGUGAGAGUACCCGAAGAAAAAGCAUCGGCUAACUCCGUGCCAGCAGCCGCGGUAAUACGGAGGAUGCGAGCGUUAUCCGGAUUUAUUGGGCUUAAAGGGUGCGCAGGCGGAUUUUAAGGUCAGGGGUAAAAUGUCGGGGCCCAACCCCGGCCUGCCGUUGAAACUGGCGGCCUCGAGUGGGCGAGAAGUAUGCGGAAUGCGUGGUGUAGCGGUGAAAUGCAUAGAUAUCACGCAGAACUCCGAUUGCGAAGGCAGCAUACCGGCGCCCGACUGACGCUGAGGCACGAAAGCGUGGGUAUCGAACAGGAUUAGAUACCCAGUAGC
rnacentral:rRNA from 1 species